UAAUAGUGAUGAGGACAACUUCUGAGCCUUAAAUCUCUCACAAGCUUGGUAGAGAUUUUCUCCAUCUUUCUGUCUGAAACUCAAUAUCUCACUCCUUAAUAA
rnacentral:snoRNA from 1 species